UUUUCCGCAUUUUACAACAUUUCGCAACCAAACUUUGCAAUUUUACUAAUUUUAACAUGCUCUUUCUAGCUGUGGUGAUGGAUUUUGUUCUUCUUGCCUAGAUCAAAAUUUUGUCUAUAGCUGAAUCUCCAUUAUGAGGCAAUCUUUUGCCGUCCAAAUUCUUCAACUACCGAUACAUACAUACAUACAUACAUACAUACAUACAUACAUACAUACAUACAUACAUACAUACAUACAUACAUACAUACAUACAUACAUACAUACAUACAUACAUACAUACAUACAUACAUACAUACAUACAUGAAUGACUUUAUUUAAAACACAGAGAACCGUCAGUAAAUAAUUAUGAUAAUUAGCUAUUUACAAAAGUUAAUAUAAGUUAAGGAAGAAGACAAGAUUGAAGGGAAGAAGGAGAAGAGGUACUGUUCUACCUGGUUGCCGUGUGGGAGUCGGUAAGACUGGAAGAAUAUAGAGAUUCCAGAUUUCCUUUAAACGAGGAGAGGGAUGAUGAUAAUCUAAGAGAUUCAGGCAAGCUGUUCCAAAGUGAUGCUCCAUUAUAACUGAAGGAAGGAAAGAUAAUCAGUAUUGGGCUUAGAAAUAAACAACUUGCCAUUGGAAUUUCUUAGUGAAUAUUGACAAUUCCUGGAUGAAAACAAUUCUUGUAAGUACUGGGGAGAUUGACCAUUAAGAGUUUUAAACAUAACAACAGCUUUUUGUUUAUGACGGUUAACCGACAAAGUGUCAGAAGGUGCAGGAAAUGACGGGGAAGCAAUAUCCCGUACUCCUAACUUCCAAUACUGGUAAUGGUCAAGAUCCUACUGUUUCUGUUUCUUCAGUUGAAAGUUUGAACAAACGUAGAGCAUGUAUUUUUGUUCGUAAAUGCUUGCCAUGGAUUUGUACCCAAUAAUUUUGCUAGUUAUUUCAAGAUAAAUUCUCACGGCAUGGACACAAGAAAUGCAUCUUGUCUGAUUCUAUUACCUAAGAUACAUACCGAAUAUGCCAGAAAUUCUUUUUAUUAUAUGCGGGCAAAAACCUAUAUAAUGAUCUUCCAACUGACAUCAGAAAGGUAUCCAACUUUAGUAUAAUUACGUAGGUGAUUAUUGAAAAUUCUCCACGCUGAUUGGUUGCCGUUGAGGUGAUUAUUACGCGAUAAUCACCUAAGCGAUUUUCAAAGUGGCAGCCGAAGAAGGCCGAAGCCUUUUUGUCAAUUAAAUGACGAAGAAAUGUGUCUUUUCUUGUUGUUUUCCAAAUAAUCAC